rnacentral:lncRNA from 1 species
AUUCCUAAAUCAUCUUCUGGAAACAUCCAAAUUUGGUUGUAGGUCCUAACAAGGAUAUUGUAACAGUUUCAGGUGAAGUUGGAGUAAAAUAUGGCAGCUUAAGUGGAAAUUCUGGAGUUAGAUGAUCCUGUUUCAAAGAGAGUUUCUUAGUAGUGGGAACUGGCCCUAUCUGGACAGCAUCUUCAGUCUGAGGGGAAAAGAGCUCUCCAGAAACAAGAACUGAAGACAGAAACCUGCCUCUUCCUUUGAUUACCUCAUCUACACCUGAAGCAGAAAGGGAAGGCUCUUUGUGGUCUCUCAAAUGCAGGAAAAGAAGGAAAGAGGCUAUGUUUAGAGACCUUCUGGCAGACUCGGUAGAAAAGCCAG